rnacentral:rRNA from 1 species
AUGGCCAGCCCGCGGUCGCCCGCUGCCGGCGCCCUCGCCGGGGACGAGGCGAUCUGGAGGAAGCUCCGCGAGGCGGGCUUCGACGAGGAGUCCAUCAGGCGGCGCGACAAGGCGGCGCUCAUCGCCUACAUCUCGCGGCUCGAGACCGAGGUUUAUGAUUACCAGCACAACCUCGGGCUAAUGUUAUUGGAGCGAAAGGAAUUGGUAUCCAAGCAUGAACAACUCAAAGCUUCUAUGGAGUCUGCUGAGAUCAUGCACAAGCGUGAACGAGCUUCCCAGCAAUCUGCUCUAGCUGAAACAAGGAAGAGGGAAGAAAACCUGAAAAAGAAUGUAGGCAUUCAGAAGGAGUGUGUUGCUAAUCUUGAAAAAGCACUGCAUGAUAUGCGUGCGGAAACAGCCGAAAUAAAGGUUUCCUAUGAAACCAAAUCAGCUGAAGCACUUGAAAUGAUGGAUACUGCUCAAAAGAAAUUUGAUGAGGCAGAAGAGAAGCUUCUUGCAGCAAAAUCUUUGGAAGCAGAGUGCACUCGUGCUCGUAAUGCUGCAUUGAGAAGUUUACAAGACAUGGAAGAACGUGAAGAUCAGCUUAGAAGAUACCGCCUUUCUAGUGAUCAUGAAUACGAGGCCAAAGAAAAGGAUAUUAGCUUACAAAGGAAAUCGUUGAAUGAUAUGAAGAAAAUGUUGCAUGAAAAGGAGCAGGUGCUACUGAAAGAACAAUCGCUUCUUAAUCAGAGGGAUGAAAAUAUCGUUGAGAGGUUAGCACGUGUAACUCAGUCGGAGAAAAAGUUAGAAGAGGACAAGGUGAUUCUCGAAGCUGAACGGAUGGCUCUAAUGGAAGAGAAAAACAAGCUGGAUCUUAAAAUGGAGGCAGUAGCAUCAAGGGAGGAAGCUAUAAUUCAGAAGGAAUCCUUGCUUGACAAACGGGAGAGUGAGCUGUUGAUUUUGCAAGAAACAAUUGCAAAUAAAGAACGGGUUGAGAUUGAAAGGCUGAAUCAUGAACAAGAAAUGGCCCUGGAGAGGAGAAAGCUUGAGUUUGAAACUGAGAUGGAGAAUAAGCGCUUGUCUUUUGAGGCAGAAACGGAGACGAAGAGGACAUUGCUGGAUCAAAGAGAAAGAGCUCUCAGUGAGCAAGAAUUGGCAUUUGCUCAAAGGGACCAAAAUGUUGACCUUCGGCUUGCUGAACUAGCAAGCAAGGAAGAGGCCAUAGCAAGGAGAACAGAUGAGUUGAAAGACGAGGAAGGAAAGCUCCUCUCUCAAAGAGAAGUGUCAUACAUUGAGCUGCAAAAAGAAAGAGAGGAAGUACAGAAGAUGAAAUUAUAUUUGGAGAAGGAAAAGGUUUUCUUUGAAGAGGAGAAACGGGAAGCAAUCCAAGCCCAGCAAAAUCUUGCAAUAACCCAAGCAGAUAGAGAUGAUUUGCUUACUUUGCAGAUCAAACUUAAAGAAGAAAUUGACAAUCUUAGAGCCCAAAGAACGGAGCUCGUGGCUGAUGCUGAUAGGCUGCAAGCAGAAAAAGAAAGGUUCGAGAUUGAAUGGGAGCUGUUUGAUGAAAAGAAAGAGGAACUACAAAAGGAAGCUGCCAGAAUUACUGAAGAGAGAAGAGUAAUGACAGAGUAUCUCAAUAAUCAGUCAGACAUCAUCAAACAAGAGAAGGAAAAUUUGCGUGCUGAGUUCAAGAAGAACUCAGAAACCCUCUCCUGUGAACAUGAAGAGUUUAUGAGUAAGAUGCAGCAAGAACAUGCAAGUUGGCUGAGUAAGAUUCAACAUGAGAGGGAAGAUCUUACAAGAGACAUUGAUAACCAGAGAAUGGAAUUACUGAACUUGGCCAAGGCAAGGCAGAUGGAAAUCGAUGCUGAUUUAAGGGAAAGAGAAAAGGAGUUUGAGCAGAAAAAAUCCAUGGAGCUUGAGCACAUAAAUUCUCAAAAGGUGAUGAUCAUGUCAAAACUAGAUCAUGUUGCGCUUGAAUUGCAGAAACUUGAGGAUGAGAGGAAAGAGGCUAAUUUGGAGCGUGAAAAGAGAGAGCAAGAGCUGUCUGAGAUAAAGAACACCAUUGAAGCCCUUAAUAAUCAACGAGAGAAGCUGCAAGAGCAAAGAAAGCUCCUACAUUCAGACCGAGAAUCAAUAACAGAACAAAUUCAGCAACUUGAUGUGUUGAAAGAACUGAAAAGCGAUUCUGAGAACAAGCAACUGUCUUUGAUAGAGUCUGAAAAGUCAAAGAUGAAUUAUACUGUCCUCCUUCCUUGUGGCGAAGUUCAUAAUUCAACUCCUAAGAAUUGUUCUCCACCAAAGCUUCUUGAAAGGAAACUAGAAGUGUCACCUUCAGUCUCAACACCAGUAUCUUGGGUUCGAAAAUGCGCUCAGGUGAUAUUCAAACGCUCUCCUGAGAAGAGUUCUGGUCAUGAUAAUGGUAGACUUAUUCAGAAUGGUGUACCAAAAAACCGUCGGAAAACUGCUGACAUCAAUGGAUCACUUGCUGAUGAGCUAGGUGACCAAGCUGGAGAAAUACCUCAAGUUGUUGAUGGUGCAAAAGUUAGUAAGAAAAGGAAUUAUUCGUUCUCAUAUGAUCCAAGUGAAGUUUUUGUAGAGCCAAGGCGGAAGUACCAAAGGAGCACUAUUCAGACAGUAAUUGGAGGGGAAGUUACUUUGAACAACUGCCCAUCAGUUCUAGAGGAGAAGUGCUCCAAAAAUGAACAUGAUGCCGCCCCACUUGGUGUAUUAUCUGGCAUCAGCAAGGAUGGCAAUAAAGGGCCACAGAACCUGAGAAUACCAGUAGACUCAGCUUCAUCUGAUGAUCUGGCCUUUGCAAAUGGGAAAGCGGAUAAUUCAGAUUUUGCUGAUGAGGAUGAACCUUCAGAAGAGAUCACAGUGUCCGCAACCGAACCAACCACUGGAGCACUUGAAGGCAGGGAUGAGCAUGAUGAAGAUACUGAUGACGAAGAUGAAGAGGAAGAGGAAGAAGAGAAAAGUUCGUCAGCGAAGAAAUUGUGGCGUUUUCUCAUCACAUGA